rnacentral:rRNA from 1 species
UUUGGACAAUGGACCCAGAGUUUGAUCCAGCAAUUCUGGUUCACGAUGAAAUUUUUUGGAAAGUAAAGUGCUUUCAGUUGGGAAGAAAAAAAUGACGGUACCAACAGAAGAAGUGACGGCUAAAUACGUGCCAGCAGCCGCGGUAAUACGUAUGUCACAAGCGUUAUCCGGAUUUAUUGGGCGUAAAGCGCGUCUAGGUGGUUAUGUAAGUUUGAUGUGAAAAUGCAGGGCUCAACUUUGUAUUGCGUUGGAAACUGUGUAACUAGAGUACUGGAGAGGUAAGCGGAACUACAAGUGUAGAGGUGAAAUUCGUAGAUAUUUGUAGGAAUGCCGAUGGGGAAGCCAGCUUACUGGACAGAUACUGACGCUGAAGCGCGAAAGCGUGGGUAGCAAACAGG